rnacentral:rRNA from 1 species
GACGAACGCUGGCGGCGUGCCUAAUACAUGCAAGUCGAACGAGAGCAACCGGUGCUUGCACUGGUCAAUCUAGUGGCGAACGGGUGAGUAACACGUGGGUAACCUGCCCAUCAGAGGGGGAUAACAUCCGGAAACGGAUGCUAAAACCGCAUAGGUCUUCGAACCGCAUGGUUUGAAGAGGAAAAGAGGCGCAAGCUUCUGCUGAUGGAUGGACCCGCGGUGCAUUAGCUAGUUGGUGAGGUAACGGCUCACCAAGGCCGUGAUGCAUAGCCGACCUGAGAGGGUGAUCGGCCACAUUGGGACUGAGACACGGCCCAAACUCCUACGGGAGGCAGCAGUAGGGAAUCUUCCGCAAUGGACGAAAGUCUGACGGAGCAACGCCGCGUGAGUGAAGAAGGUUUUCGGAUCGUAAAACUCUGUUGUUAGAGAAGAACAAGUGCUAGAGUAACUGUUAGCGCCUUGACGGUAUCUAACCAGAAAGCCACGGCUAACUACGUG